GACGAACCGUGCGAACGUUGUUCGGAAUCACUGGGCUUAAAGGGCGCGUAGGCGGGCGAUCAAGUCAAGGGUGAAAUCCUGCGGCUCAACCGUAGAAGAGCCCCUGAUACUGGUCGUCUCGAGGGAGGUAGGGGCGUGUGGAACUUCCGGUGGAGCGGUGAAAUGCGUAGAGAUCGGAAAGAACACCAACGGCGAAAGCACUCUGCUGGGCCGACACUGACACUGAGAGACGAAAGCUAGGGGAGCGAAUGGG
rnacentral:rRNA from 1 species